rnacentral:lncRNA from 1 species
GAAUUAACAAAUAAUUUAUUUAAAUUAAUAUUUUUGUAAUAUGUAAAUUAUUUAUUUAAUAUAUUUGUUAAAUUAUUUACAGUAACUGUAAGAACAUAAAUGAAAGAUGACUUAUAACCUAACUAUAAAUCAAAUAAAAUUGAAUAUAGAAUGUGUAGCAUAAGAUUAUUAAUUCUAGCUUUCCAUAAAUCAUUCCUAACCACGGGCAUUAUGAUAUGAAUGCGAUGAUACAUGCUUCAUAUUUUCUUUUUCCUUUUUUUACAUGAGAUGAUUUAAUCAAAAAACAAGAUUAUUUUUUGGAUAAAACAACAAGUUAAAUUGGAUUGAAAAGAGACCAUGAAAUUCGAUUAUUCCAUUUUAAUUUAUUUAUCUUUAUAAGUUAAACCAGCUUAUAUGUCUAAAUAAAUUUAACUCAAACAUAUUAUUAGAUACAUACAAUUAUAUUUCAUAAUUCUAAAUUUUGACUCAAUGAUUAUUGUUUAUUUAUCUUUAAAAGUGUUAAGAUCUAAUUGGUUUCACGUAAAUUCAAUCGAUAAAAAUAUUAAAUUAUUAAUUUUAAUAAAUAAAUUUUAUUUUUUAAUAAUUUUAAAUAUAAAAAAUUUUACUGAUUUUUUUCUUUAAUCGUCCCAACAUAUCAAAAUAGUAUGUGUUUCAUUUUAUUUUGUUUAACUUUCAAUUACAUGCAAAACUUAUAUCCUAAAAUAAUAGGCUCUUACAUGAUUAAUUAAACAUAUAAUUUCUUGAUGUUGUAUUUUUAUAUUAUGAGAUAUUGUUUGCUCAUCCUAGUCGCAUUUGCUACGUAAAAAUAGAUGGAAAGAAGCUAGAAACAAUUGCAAAGGCAAAUGCAGUACGAGCAAUAUGAAACAAAAGUGGCAACACAAAACAUUCCCCUGCAAACUCAGCAGCAAUAUCUUGAUGAGAAAGAAGCAUUUUAGUUGCUUCUCUCUCAAUAUUUGAUGUUACAUUUUCAAAUUUCAUGUUGAACACAUGAUAUAUAUAGUAGUAGAUUAUCUCAAUUAGGAUGUAUAUAAACAGUAAACAAAAACGUUUGUCUUAUUUUAAAAAAAAAAAAGGGCGUUUGAGAGUAACAUGUGAGAAAGUAAAAUUUAUUUAAUAAAUAUUUAUUAUGUACAAUGAUUCACAAUUAUAUAUCUCAUAUCCAUUAUAUAUUAUAAUUUAAAUUGAGAUUUAAAGUAUUUAUAUCAUAUUUAAUUUAUAAAAUAUUUUUUAUAAGAUAAAAUCUGAGACACAAUGAAUUAAAAUUUUUACAAGU